CGGCCUGAAGUGAUGAUUAACAUUCAUGUCUCUUCUCUGAUAAAUGUCUUGAAGAUAAUGUUGUGAUCUGACCAGGCCU
rnacentral:snoRNA from 1 species